AUACCUUUCUCGGCCUUUUGGCUAAGAUCAAGUGUAGUAUCUGUUCUUAUCAGUUUAAUAUCUGAUAUUGGGCCAUGUGUCCAUAACGAUAUUAAAUUUAUUUUUUGUGGGGGAGGGUCCACCACAGUGGCUUGCCACUGGGGCCCUCAGGUGUCGCCCAGUGCGUUGCACUGCUGCCUGGGCUGGCGUACCCCAA
rnacentral:snRNA from 2 species